ACGAACGCUGGCGGCAGGCCUAAUACAUGCAAGUCGAACGCCCCGCAAGGGGAGUGGCGCACGGGUGAGUAAUACAUGGGAACAUGCCCUUUGGUACGGAACAACACCGGGAAACUGGUGCUAAUACCGUAUAAUAUCCACGGAUCAAAGAUUUAUCGCCGGAGGAUUGGCCCAUGUUGGAUUAGCUAGUUGGUGGGGUAACGGCCUACCAAGGCGACGAUCCAUAGCUGGUCUGAGAGGAUGAUCAGCCACACUGGGACUGAGACACAGCCCAGACUCCUACGGGAGGCAGCAGUAAGGAAUAUUGGACAAUGGGGGCAACCCUGAUCCAGCCAUGCCGCGUGAAUGAAGAAGGCCUUAGGGUUGUAAAGUUCUUUUAGUGGUGACGAUAAUGACGGUAGCCACAGAAAAAGCUCCGGCUAACUCCGUGCCAGCAGCCGCGGUAAUACGGAGGGAGCGAGCGUUGUUCGGAAUUACUGGGCGUAAGCGUGCGCAGGCGGAUUUCCAAGUCAGGAGUGAAAUCCCCGGGCUUAACCCGGGAAUUGCUUUUGAAACUGGAUGUCUUGAGUCUCGGAGAGGUUGGCGGAAUUCCCAGUGUAGCAGUGAAAUGCGUAGAUAUUGGGAGGAACACCAGUGGCGUAAGCGGCCAACUGGACGAGUACUGACGCUCAUGCACGAAAGUGUGGGGAUCAAACAGGAUUAGAUACCCUGGUAGUCCACACCGUAAACGAUGUUCACUAGCUGGUGGAGAGCUUGCUCUUCGCUGGCGCAGCUAACGCAUUAAGUGAACCGCCUGGGGAGUACGGUCGCAAGAUUAAAACUCAAAGGAAUUGACGGGGACCCGCACAAGCGGUGGAGCAUGUGGUUUAAUUCGAAGCAACGCGAAGAACCUUACCAGCCCUUGACAUCCCGGUCGCGAGAUCCAGAGAUGGAUUUCUUCAGUUCGGCUGGACCGGUGACAGGUGCUGCAUGGCUGUCGUCAGCUCGUGUCGUGAGAUGUUGGGUUAAGUCCCGCAACGAGCGCAACCCCUAUCUUCUGUUGCCAUCAUUCAGUUGGGCACUCAGACGAAACUGCCGGUGAUAAGCCGGAGGAAGGUGGGGAUGACGUCAAGUCCUCAUGGCCCUUACGCGCUGGGCUACACACGUGCUACAAUGGCUGGUGACAGAGGGCAUGCGAGACCGCGAUCGUGAGCUAAUCUCCAAAGCCAUCUCAAGUUCAGGAUUGUUACUCUGCAACUCGAGUGCAUGAAGGCUGGAAUCGCUAGUAAUCGCGGAUCAGCAUGCCUACGGUGAAUACGUUCCCGGGUCUUGUACACACCGCCCGUCAAGCACAUGGUAGUUGGUUCUAGCCCUGAAGGUACAGUGCGCUGACCCGCUAAGGAGGCAGCCUGGCCACGGUAGGGAUAAUCGACUGGGUGCU
rnacentral:rRNA from 1 species